UGAGUAUAUAAGGGCCUCAAAAAAUGUACCCAAGACAAUGUCCUAAGUAAAAAAGUAAAAAGACAUGCAUCUGUCAGUUCUCAGCUCCCACAACACUUUCUUGAAUGACAACAGGAACGCAGUUUUCCAGUUUCCAAUUUACUGAUGCUCUGAUUUAAAUUUGACUGGAAUCACAAGGUUUAGUUUUCUUAGACAUGUAUGCACAGACUUUAGACUAUGCCAAAACAAUGUAGUGCAUCAUAUCUCAUGAUAAGUCAUGCAGUCAUUUAAUGAUUCAGUAUUCAUGCAGUGAAGUGUAAUCUGACACAGUCAAUGUACAGUGUCCGCUCACUCUUGUGUUUACCAUAACAUGUCAGUAUCCUUGUUCAUUUAUCAUGGUUUGACAUUCUGUAUCCCUUGUGUUUUUCCCCCUAUCUCUGCAUUUAAGAAACAGAGUCAACAUAAAGCAAUUGAUUUUCAUUUAAGGCAGGUGUGUUGUUGACGUCAGCGUUUGGUCAAGCUAAUAUAAUCUGGUCUAACCGUGAUAGGAGGCAGCACUAGUAAGAGAGGUCUCUCACAGGGGGUUGUAUUGAACCUGAGGUCCUGUUGCUAUUCAUGGCAAUAUAAAUGGGGCCUGGAACAUUGCUGCAAUCAGAUGGUAUCGCAAACACGAGGGCUUCCUAUUCUUUUGGACAUGGUAAGUGCUAAAUAAGCUUGCUACAGAUUUGCAAUUGCAGGUGCAUAAUGUGUUAGAGAAUUAACGAGUAACUUUGUUUACAGGGACAGAGAACAAGUGUGUGGAUAUAUUUAUUUGUAUUUGUUUUGAUCAUGGAGUCUCACUGCUCUGAAAGGGUAUGUAAGGAUAUUAAUCUUUCUCAACAUGUUUAUGUCAUCACUAUGCAGAACCUUUUUCAUACGAAAUUGUUACAUAUCUUACAGCAAACUAUACGUUCAAAUAACUGGGGACCACAGUCAAUGAUGUACCUCAAAGGAAAAUAUGGCAGAAGACAUGAACCUCACAUUCUUGAUAAUGUUUAUGAAUCAGAGA
rnacentral:lncRNA from 1 species